CAUUAUUGAUCUUUCAGCCCCUCAUACCUCCGCUACCCCAAGUCUCAACUCCCUCAUUCCCUCCGAAGAAUUUUCCCUUCAAUACGCCACCAUUGAUAACGCCAUUACAGCCAUCACACAAACGGGUGUUGGAGCUUGGUUAAGUAAUACGGACAUUACAAAUGCCUUCAAACUGCUACCAAUCCACCCUACACUCUGGCACCUACAUGGUAUAAAAUGGGCAGGGAAAUACUAUUUCUUCUCCCGC